UUACGGCCGUACCACGUUAAGACAUUGGUUCCCGUACGAUCAGCGAAGUUAAGCAACGUCGAGCCUGGUCAGUAUUUAGAUGAGUGGCCACUUAGGAAUACCAGGUGGUGGA